GACGUAGGUGGCGAACGUUAUCCGGAAUUAUUGGGCGUAAAGAGCUCGUAGGCGGUCUGUCGCGUCGAUCGUGAAAACUUGGGGCUUAACCCUGAGCUUGCGGUCGAUACGGGCAUGACUGGAGUUCGGCAGGGGAGACUGGAAUUCCUGGUGUAGCGGUGAAAUGCGCAGAUAUCAGGAGGAACACCGGUGGCGAAGGCGGGUCUCUGGGCCGAUACUGACGCUGAGGAGCGAAAGCAUGGGUAGCGAACAGG
rnacentral:rRNA from 1 species